CUGAGGUACGCUCGGUGUCGCCUCGGCGCGCCGGUUGCCCGCCCUUAUGUCAUACGUGCCGGAGCCGUCCCCCUGCCCUCGGGCGGUGGGCGGCGACGGGAACAUCACUUCGGUCGAGGUGUUGCGUCUCGGGGGGGUUCUUCCCCCCUGAGCGUGACCGCGGCCGGCCGUAUCUUUACACUCUUUGUGAGAGCAUGAAGUCUGAAGCAAAAUGAAAAUAAAGCAA
rnacentral:misc_RNA from 1 species